UGUGGCCCAGGAGAUGAGCGGC
rnacentral:misc_RNA from 1 species